CCUACGUGCGGCAGCAGUGGGGAAUAUUGCACAAUGGGGGAAACCCUGAUGCAGCGACGCCGCGUGAGUGAAGAAGUAAUUCGUUAUGUAAAGCUCUAUCAGCAGGGAAGAAAAUGACGGUACCUGAGUAAGAAGCCCCGGCUAACUACGGGCCAGCAGCCGCGGUAAUACGUAGGGGGCAAGCGUUAUCCGGAUUUACUGGGUGUAAAGGGAGCGUAGACGGCAGUGCAAGUCUGGAGUGAAAGGCGGGGGCUCAACCCCCGGACUGCUCUGGAAACUGUACGGCUGGAGUGCAGGAGAGGUAAGUGGAAUUCCUAGUGUAGCGGUGAAAUGCGGAGAUAUUAGGAGGAACACCAGUGGCGAAGGCGGCUUACUGGACUGUAACUGACGUUGAGGCUCGAAAGCGUGGGGAGCAAACAGGAUUAGAUACCCGGGUAGUC
rnacentral:rRNA from 1 species